GCAUUAGAAUCAUCAUUUAUUUAGUCGCCAUAGAUUUUAGCUUCUAUAUACAAGUAAUAUGCUUAUUAUUAUUACUAAGCAGUCCUUCACGAAAUUACCUCCUUGAUUACUUCAAAUACACAAACAUGUACUGACAACACAUUCUCUACUAGGAGAAUACAUGAGUUGGUUUGGUUCGUUUUACUUUUAAAAUCAAAAUACAGUUAAAUAAGCACAAGCACCAGUGAGUGCAAUUCGUACGAUCUAAUCAGGCACCAGAGAUUUGGCUACUUGAUGCAGCUACCAUCUCAAUAUUAUAAAAGGACAGUAAACUGGAUAACGCAAAUACUCCCAUAGCCACUGCUACUGAAAAUAACGCGAAUUUGCGAAAAAGCAAGGCUAUUUUUGGCUGCUUUUCCUUCAUGGAUUCUGACGCCAUAGACCCUGAGAAUGCAAAUAGUAGUGAAAACAUAAAUGCUUGAAACAGGACAGGCUUUCUUGUGAAUAUUAUAGUUGGUACAAAAUUCCCAUCUAUUCUCUCUGAUGGAAGUUGCAAAAUUAAAAUAACCGUCAGAUAUGCAAUUCUGAAUAUCGCGUCUUGUGUGCCUGUGGUUGUUGAAUAUGUAUCUUCGCCAUUAAAGGGUCGUUUUCUGGAAUCAUCAUCACUUGUUACAUUCAUUGUAGUGAAA